CUGUCUGUCUGUCUGUUAAGAAUUUAAAAAAUAAACGUGAGGCUUUGUAAUAUUGGAUGUAAAGCUGUUUCAUUUUAUGUUUAUUUGGAAAAAUCGGAACGGUUAGUUCUUGCAAAUCUGGAACAUAACUAGCUGUGCGCGGCAUACAUCGGGAACAUUAAAAAAGAACGUCAUGUGUGAGGUACUGAAUCAGUUAUUCAGCACUUAUCUGGAGGGAAUGGUUAAACUACCCUUAAACUGUUCUACAGACUUGUUUGCGUUAGCAAAAUUCAGAACCUGAGAAAUACACAUGAAUGUGAUGGCUCUGUUAAUGUGAGCUGAAGAACUGAUUUUGAAUGGGAAUUUAACCACACUGAUAUAAACAUGGAAAAUUAAAAGCUUUGACCACAUGCAACAUAAAAGUUUUGCCCAGUCAGAGACUUGCAAGGUAUCAGGAGGGAUUUUGUUGAUUAUGCAGAGCAAUAUGGCACAAGACUCGGUGUAAGAUUUAAAAUGUUAAGAAAAGUCCACCAGUAUCCAGAUUUAUAGGAUGAAAAAUCAAAAGGGUGUUUACAUAUCAACACAAUCAAUCACCUUGGCACAAUAUGGCAAUUUUACUGGUGUUAAAGGUGAAAGUUAGAUAUUGGGUGUACUAUUGUUGGUUUUCACAAAUGUUCUGAAAAAGGUUCCUACAUUAUCAGUAUGCAUCAGCAAUUUAAAAUAAAAUUUUUAUUUGUUAAAUAAGGAUUACUUAAACCAUUAAAAGAAAACACAUUCAUCUCACGAAUUUUUCUGUACUUCCCCCCCCCCAUUCUGUUCUUUCCAAAUGCACAACAAUCUUUUUCUCUCUGAAAACCACCAGAGAUUAGGCAUUCCAUGAACCUUGACAACAGUGGCUAUUUACCAAAGGCAUCUGCUCGUCAUUCCCUUUAGAAAUUUUACGGCUAAAUUUUGUACUGCAGUUUCUCCCAUUGUUGAUAGAUCAUACAAGCAGGUAUUUUAAAAUCAGUUUUAAGGCAAAGGGCAUCAUGAUUUGUUCAUAAAAAUCAUUGGAACUUCGAAUAUGAGGAAUGACAAUGCAUACAGAAAGGAUUAUAUUGCUUGACUGAAGGAUCGUUAUGACAUUUUUGCCUGAAGAACCAUAAUGCACAUGUUUGCUAGAGUUUGGAACACUUUGAAAUACAUAUUAUUAUUAAUGUGGUUGUGAUAAUAUAUAAGUGUAAUAAAAAGAUUCACAGAAUAAAA